AACGAACGCUGGCGGUAUGCUUAACACAUGCAAGUCGAACGGAUGUAGCAAUACAUUAGUGGCAAACGGGUGAGGAAUAUAUAGGAAUCUCCCCAGCAGUAAGGAAUAACUUUGGGAAACCAAAGCUAAUGCCAUAUAUCACCGCUUCGGCGGGAAAGAUUUAUCGCUGUUGGAUGAGCCUAUGUCGGAUUAGCUUGUUGGUAAGGUAAUGGCUUACCAAGGCGAUGAUCCGUAGCUGGUCUGAGAGGAUGAUCAGCCACACUGGAACUUAGACACGGUCCAGACUCCUACGGGAGGCAGCAGUGGGGAAUAUUGGACAAUGGGCGCAAGCCUGAUCCAGCAAUACCGCGUGAGUGAUGAAGGCUUUCGGGUCGUAAAGCUCUUUUAGUAGGGAAGAUAAUGACGGUACCUACAGAAAAAGCACCGGCUAACUUCGUGCCAGCAGCCGCGGUAAUACGAAGGGUGCUAGCGUUGUUCGGAAUUACUGGGCGUAAAGCGCGCGUAGGCGGUACAGCAAGUCGGUUGUGAAAGCCCAGGGCUUAACCCUGGAAUUGCAAUCGAAACUGCUGAACUAGAGUAUAGUGGGGGAUAGUGGAAUUCCUAGUGUAGGGGUGAAAUCCGUAGAUAUUAGGAGGAAUACCGGUGGCGAAAGCGACUAUCUAGGCUAUUACUGACGCUGAGGUACGAAAGCGUGGGGAGCAAACAGGAUUAGAUACCCUGGUAGUCCACGCAGUAAACGAUGAGUGCUAGUUGUCGGGAUCUUAGAUCUCGGUGGUGAAGCUAACGCGUUAAGCACUCCGCCUGGGGAAUACGGCCGCAAGGCUAAAACUCAAAGGAAUUGACGGGGACCCGCACAAGCAGUGGAGCAUGUGGUUUAAUUCGAUGCUACGCGAAAAACCUUACCAGCUCUUGUAUCCUCACUAUGAUUCUCAGAAAUGAGUUUCUUCACUUCGGGUGGGUGAGAGACAGGUGUUGCAUGGCUGUCGUCAGCUCGUGUCGUGAGAUGUUAGGUUAAGUCCUUCAACGAGCGCAACCCUCAUCCUUAUUUGCCAUCGGGUUAUGCCGGGAACUAUAAGGAAACUGCCAGCGACAAGCUGGAGGAAGGUGGGGAUGAUGUCAAGUCAUCAUGGCCCUUAUGGGCUGGGCUACACACAUGCUACAAUGGUGAUUACAACGGGACGCAAUAGAGCAAUCUGGAGCCAAUCCUUUAAAGGUCAUCUCAGUUCGGAUUGAGUGGCGCAACUCGCCCCCAUGAAGUUGGAAUUGCUAGUAAUCGCAGAUCAGCACGCUGCGGUGAAUACGUUCUCGGGUCUUGUACACACUGCCCGUCAAGCCAUGGAAGUUGUUUUUACCCGAAUAGAGUGAGCUAACCGCAAGGAGGUAGCUCUACACGGUAAGAAUAGUGACUGGGGUU
rnacentral:rRNA from 1 species